CCUACGGGUGGCUGCAGUGAGGAAUAUUGGUCAAUGGGCGUAAGCCUGAACCAGCCAAGUCGCGUGAGGGAUGAAGGUUCUAUGGAUCGUAAACCUCUUUUAUAAGGGAAUAAAGUGCGGGACGUGUCCCGUUUUGUAUGUACCUUAUGAAUAAGGAUCGGCUAACUCCGUGCCAGCAGCCGCGGUAAUACGGAGGAUCCGAGCGUUAUCCGGAAUUAUUGGGUUUAAAGGGUGCGUAGGCUGCCUUUUAAGUCAGCGGUGAAAGUCUGGGGCUCAACCCUAGACUCGCCGUUGAAACUGGGAGGCUUGAGUUUGUUUGAGGUAUGCGGAAUGCGUGGUGUAGCGGUGAAAUGCUUAGAUAUCGCGCAGAACACCGAUUGCGAAGGCAGCCUGCCAGGCCAUGACUGACGCUGAGGCACGAAAGCGUGGGGAUCAAACAGGAUUAGAGACCCCAGUAGUC
rnacentral:rRNA from 1 species